rnacentral:tRNA from 1 species
AACUAAUUAGUUUAUACAAAACAUUAAAUUGCAAAUUUAACUUAUAAAUCAUUCGAUG